UGGUCAAGAGGGGGGGUGGGGGCAUGGGGGGGCUAUACAUGCAAGUCGAGCGGACAGAAGGGAGCUUGCUCCCGGAUGUUAGCGGCGGACGGGUGAGUAACACGUGGGUAACCUGCCUGUAAGACUGGGAUAACUCCGGGAAACCGGAGCUAAUACCGGAUAGUUCCUUGAACCGCAUGGUUCAAGGAUGAAAGACGGUUUCGGCUGUCACUUACAGAUGGACCCGCGGCGCAUUAGCUAGUUGGUGAGGUAACGGCUCACCAAGGCGACGAUGCGUAGCCGACCUGAGAGGGUGAUCGGCCACACUGGGACUGAGACACGGCCCAGACUCCUACGGGAGGCAGCAGUAGGGAAUCUUCCGCAAUGGACGAAAGUCUGACGGAGCAACGCCGCGUGAGUGAUGAAGGUUUUCGGAUCGUAAAGCUCUGUUGUUAGGGAAGAACAAGUGCAAGAGUAACUGCUUGCACCUUGACGGUACCUAACCAGAAAGCCACGGCUAACUACGUGCCAGCAGCCGCGGUAAUACGUAGGUGGCAAGCGUUGUCCGGAAUUAUUGGGCGUAAAGGGCUCGCAGGCGGUUUCUUAAGUCUGAUGUGAAAGCCCCCGGCUCAACCGGGGAGGGUCAUUGGAAACUGGGAAACUUGAGUGCAGAAGAGGAGAGUGGAAUUCCACGUGUAGCGGUGAAAUGCGUAGAGAUGUGGAGGAACACCAGUGGCGAAGGCGACUCUCUGGUCUGUAACUGACGCUGAGGAGCGAAAGCGUGGGGAGCGAACAGGAUUAGAUACCCUGGUAGUCCACGCCGUAAACGAUGAGUGCUAAGUGUUAGGGGUUUCCGCCCCUUAGUGCUGCAGCUAACGCAUUUAAGCACUCCGCCUGGGGG
rnacentral:rRNA from 1 species